UGACCACACACAAAAAGAUAUAUCUUUUCUAUAGAAUCUGCAUUGAGAUUGAUCAUAACUGACAAUUUUUUUGCCGAUUAAUUUGACUUUUUGUAGGCUCUGUAGUAGUGAUUGUGGUCUCUGUUCUUAGCUCUGUGGUUGUCUUCAUGGUUGGAAUAGCAAUAGGAGUUUAUAUCUGCAAACACCGAACCAUACAGAAGAAGAGAAGAGGUCAUUCUAAAUUUCUGAUUCCUGAUAAAUCGUUAAAGGAAUAAUCAAUCUGUUCUACUUACCGAGGUUUUUGGUGUUUUCUUUAGGACCAAAUGAUGUCGAAAAAAUGGCCAAAACGCUAACGGACAGUAGCUUGAACUUCAAAUACUCGACAUUGGAGAAGGCCACAGGAUCAUUUGACAGCGCGAACAAGC
rnacentral:lncRNA from 1 species